rnacentral:snRNA from 19 species
AAACUUACCUUGUUAGGGCAACCGUGAUCAAGAAGGAGGUUUGCCUAUCAGGCUGCCCUGCAUUGCACAGCGUGGUGGUGGCCCGGUAUGAAUCUUCUUCGGGGGCCUUAUUGGCGCAAUUUUUGAUGGCUUUCAUUUCAUGGACA